UGUUUGUUAAAGUUAACAUGUCUUUAUUAAGGUUAAACACAGGGGUAUAGAACAGACAAGAACAGCAAUAAGGAACUACACAGAAACAUGGCAGAGCUGUAACCUGAGCUCUGACCCAAACUCUCCAGUUAGUUCCAUGUAACCACAGGCCUAGGAUCAGAUUAGUUCUAAGAUUAACCAUAAGGAGGAUGUAAAAAGGCCUGAUCCAGGUAGUGGUUAUGGGCAACUACAACUGUUCCAAGCUGUAGUCUGUUUGGGUCUGUCUCCAUCUACAGGACAAGACCGGGACUGCAGCUCUGCAGAUUUUCACCUGGGAACAGUUACCAGCAUGUAGCAGUUUCAUCAGAGCAGAUCAACAUGACAAUACAAUAAGUCAUGACAAAUUGCUUGUGUCAUCAUUUAAACAGUUAGGGCUUUGAUCGUGUAGGAUUCCCAGCAGUAACCUUACUACUUUAACAUGAAUCUUUCAUCGUCACCUUUCCCUCUGUCUGCCUGCCUGUCUGUCUGUCUUGUCUGCAGGGAUAUGUGAUUCUCUCAGAACAUGUUAUUACAGGGUGUGUAUAGUGUAGGAGCAUGUUAUUUCAGGGUGUGUAUAGUGUAGGAGCAUGUUAUUUCAGGGUGUGUAGUGUGGGAGCAUGUUAUUACAGGGUGUGUAGUGUGGGAGCAUGUUAUUACAGGGCGUGUAGUGUGGGAGCAUGUUAUUACAGGGCGUGUAGUGUGGGAGCAUGUUAUUACAGGGUGUGUAGUGUGGGAGCAUGUUAUUACAGGGUGUGUAGUGUAGGAGCAUGUUAUUACAGGGUGUGUAGUGUAGGUAGACAUAAAACAUGUUCCUUUUAAAAUAACACUUAAGCAAAUUAUUUUGUAUGCAAAUCUAGAAAGGUUGACUGCAUUAUGUACAGUAAAUGCUGACUGCUGAGUACAGCCAGUGGACGUGGGACUCCUGAAGGUCGUCUCACACCAGGUCCAUGAGGCAUCCAUGAUGUCACAGGGGUCACAGACUCAGAGCUCCGUCAUCAGGAGAGCCCUGAGAAUCUUCUCUCUGCCCAACCUCAUCUCCUCCCCGCUACACACAGACAGGGACACACACACACAGAUCAUCAUGAGGAAUGUUACAUGACUGGGAUUUGUGUGUUAAGUGUGUCUGUAACCUGAGUGUGUGUGUAACCUGAAUGUGUGUUACCUGUUGGUGUGAGAGGCGAGGCAGGGUACCAGGGGAGGGAUGGAGGUGUGGUAGUAGGAAGGGGAUAGGUGGGGAGAGUGAGAACGCUCACAGCAUGGACUCCUCAGCUCCAGUAUCGGCAUGUCCAUCUGCAACACACACAAAACAGUUUAGUUCACAAUACACUAUUAUCCUGGUAUUUGCUUAGAAAUGACAAGGCUCUGAUCCAAAUGGACGAAUGCUCUGCUAUGAAAAGUGUGUGUUGCUGAGUGCUCUGGGGUAUGAUAACCUGUGUGUUUGUUUCCUGAGGGUAUAUGGAGGGUUGUGUCUGGUGU
rnacentral:lncRNA from 1 species